GCUGGGCAUGGUGGCACAUGCCUGUAGUCCCAGCUACUUAGGAGGCUGAGGUGGGAGGAUUGCUUGAGCCCAGGAGUUUGAGGCUACAGUGAGCUAUGACUGCAUCAUUUGCUCCAGCCUGGGCAGCAGAGUGAGUCCCCAUCUCUU
ensembl:misc_RNA Metazoa_SRP Metazoan signal recognition particle RNA